CGAGGCGCCUUCGCAGUUACCCCCUUCAUCCUCACAACAGCCUUCAAGGGGUUUAUGUUUUGUUUACGUGGCUUAGUCUCACGUCCUAACUUGAAAACUCCCCAGGGGCUGGAUUGUUCGCCUUGUCCCUUUCAUCCUUGCCUCCCAUAGCCCAGGAGGUACACGGUUGGAGCUUCAAACAUUUUUUAAUUGGGAGAAGGUGAGCUUUACUGAGUAGGAGGUUUUAACCAGGUUUGUUUGGCAAGGUCUUUCCAGGGGGUCGGAAAACUAAUGGAAUUCCCUCUCCCGUUUUUGUUUUGCUUGGAAUAAACGUUUGCUGAGCACCUGAACGGUGUUAGCUUGUUUGUUCAAGGGAAACAUGAGCCCUUUUUUUUGUUUAUUUUUUAAGAUUUUAUUUAUUCAUGAGAGGCACAGAGAGAGAGACAGGCAGAGGGAGAAGCAGGCUCCAUGCAGGGAGCCCGACGUGGGACUCGAUCCCGGGCCUCCAGGAUCACGCCCUGGGCUGAAGGCGGCGCUAAACCGCUGAGCCACCCGGGCUGCCCAAGCCCUACUUUUCAUAGUAAAGUAAAUGGACCUAAUGCUACUUGUAUUUGGAGUUACCCCUGAGAAAUGGCAGAAGCAGUUUUCCGUGCCCCAAAGCGGAAAAGAAGAGUAUAUGAGAGUUUUGAGUCUCCACUGCCCAUCCCUUUUGGUCAAGACUGUGGGCCUAAGCAAGAUUUCAAAGUGUUCACAGCAGAGAUGAUAAACAACAAUGUAAUUGUGAGGAACACAGAAGAUAUGGAGCAGCUCUAUGGGAAAGGUUAUUUUGGAAAAGGUAUCCUGUCUAGAAGCCGUCCAAACUUCACAAUUUCAGAUCCUAAGCUCGUUGCUAAGUGGAAAGAUAUGAAGACAGACAUGCCUAUAAUCACGUCAACAAAGUAUCAGCAUAGUGUAGAAUGGGCCACAAAGCUCAUGCAAAGACAGGGGCAGGAUGAGAGUACAGUGCGUAAAAUCCUCCAGGAUUACACAAAACCACUUGAGCAUUCUGGUAUAAAAAGGAAUGAAGAAGGUCAGCGGCAUGACGAACUGAACUCUGGAACAGUUUCCAUAAUGGAAGGUACCACAGAUAGAGAGGAACUUUCCAUGAUGAAUGGGGACUCGGGUAAGUCUGUUGGCAUGGAGGGUCCCAGCAAGCCAUCAGACUGCCAGCAGCAGGGCUCUGGGCCUGACCCACUCACUCCAGAUGGCCUGGAUGAAUCUGUGGUAGAGGGUGCCACACUGCAACACUGCCCUCUGCCUCAAAUUCACUGUGGCAAAGAUGAUGGUCUCCUCCCCACACCUGGGGACACUCAGCCUGGGGACGGGAGCCAGCAAGCAGAUCCCUGUGCCAGAAAGAGAGGGCCUGGUGAUGAGUACGUGCUGGUGGAGGAAGAUGUGUAUGAUGUGAGCGAGCAGGAAUGUGCCCCAAAUGAAGAAUUGGCACCCAAAAAGAGAUUAGUAUGCAGAAGAAAUCCAUAUAGGAUCUUGGAGUAUUUGCAACUCAGCCUAGAAGAGGCCUUUUUCCUGGUCUAUGCUCUAGGAUGUCUGAGUAUUUAUUAUGAGAAGGAGCCCUUAACAAUCAUGAAGCUCUGGAAAGCUUUCACUGUAGUUCAGCCCACAUUCAGGACUACAUACAUGGCAUACCAUUACUUCCGAAGCAAGGGCUGGGUGCCCAAAGUGGGACUUAAGUAUGGGACAGAUUUACUGUUGUAUCGAAAAGGCCCUCCAUUUUACCAUGCAAGUUACUCUGUCAUCAUUGAGUUAGUCGACGACCAUUUUGAGGGCUCUCUUCGCAGACCCUUCAGUUGGAGGUCCCUGGCUGCCUUGAGCAGGGUUUCAGUUAACGUCUCCAAGGAACUCAUGCUGUGCUAUUUGAUUAAACCCUCUACCAUGACUGACAAAGAGAUGGAGUCACCAGAAUGUAUGAAACAAAUCAAAGUUCAGGAGGUGAUUCUAAGCCGCUGGGUUUCUUCAAGAGAGAGGAGUGACCAAGAUGAACUUUAACAGUCCAACCUCAGAACUAUGAUUUACCAGCAAAUACUAUUGAGUGUCCUACAAUAAGCCAAGUUCAGUGUGAGGAGUGACUCAAACCCACCAGACUGGCAAGAGACCAAGAAGACACAGUGUCUAUUUAUUUAUACUCAGAGCUAAGUCUGGGCUGAGAAUGAAAUGCGUUUGUGGAAGUUAGGGCCAUCCAAUAACAUGCAGGCAUUGUUUGUGCACAGAAAGUGGGAGAGCUGAGAGGACCUUCACCAGGGGUCUUCUGUGUUCCGGAGGGGCUUUUCUGUCAUCACAGAGCUGCAUUACCUUCAUCCUACCUUCUGAAGAACCGAGGCUAGAACUGGACAGUCACCCUUGGGAGGUGUGGGCCCAGCUCCGGCCGCAGUGGGGCACUGAUAGAUGGUUCUGCGUUGCACACGUGUGCCGCCUUUAAGGCACCACCUCCUCAGGUGGCUUACAGUUUUCAGGGUUUUUAAACUGUCAGUGAGACUCUGGUUUUGGUAUCAAGUUUUAGCAAUUGCUUGGUCUCUUUCAUUGGCCUUGGCUGGAGGACAGGAUGGCUAAGGCCUCCUUGGUUUAGAGUCAGACACAGGUUUGCAUCCCAACUCCCACUUACUAGCUGUGGUAUCUUAACCUGUUUCCUCAUCUAGAAAAUGGAGUUAAUGUUAUCAGCAUACAUAUACAAUGGAAUACCUUUCAGCUACAAAAAGAAAGGAAGUGCUGGCACAUGCAGCAUGGAUGAAUCCCGGCUACAUGCCAAGCAAGAGAAGCCAGACAUAAAAUGCCACAUAUUGUUUGAUUCCAGGCAUAUAUCCAGAAUAGGUAAAUCCAUAGAGAACACAGAUUGGUGGGUACCAGGAGCAGGGGGAAGGAAGACUCGGAAGCAACUGCUGAGUGGGUACAGAGUCUCCUUUAGGGGUAAUGUUUCAGAGCAGUGGUGGUUGCACAAUUCUGAAUAUACUAAAUGCCCCUGAAUAUUUUGCUUUAAGAUGGGUUUAUGUAGUAAGAAUCUCACCUCGAUGGAAACAAAAGUAAAAAAUAAUAAUGGUGCCCAGAGGUUUGCUGGAGGAUUAAGUGGCUUGGCCCUUACUGGAUGCUUAUUAGCACAGUGCCUGGCUUGUGGUGGACUUUUCAGUCCUUUCCAGCUAUUCUGAUUCAUCUCAGGGGGCAAGAGGAAGCACUCAUGUCAUAAAAACCACCAUACAGGGCAGCCCAGGUGGCUCAGCAGUUUAGUGCCGCCUUCAGCCCAGGGUGUGAUCCUGGAGACCCAGGAUCGAGUUCCGCAUCAGGCUCCCUGCAUGGAGCCUGCUUCUCCCUCUGCCUAUCUCUCGGCUUCUCUCUCUUCUCUGUGUUUCUCAUGA